GUUGAACGCUGGCGGCAUGCUUUACACAUGCAAGUCGAACGGUAACAGGCCGCAAGGUGCUGACGAGUGGCGAACGGGUGAGUAAUGCAUCGGAACGUGCCCAGUCGUGGGGGAUAACGCAGCGAAAGCUGUGCUAAUACCGCAUACGAUCUAUGGAUUAAAGCGGGGGACCGUAAGGCCUCGAGCUAUUGGAGCGGCCGAUGUCAGAUUAGGUAGUUGGGGGGGUAAAGGCUCACCAAGCCGACGAUCUGUAGCUGGUCUGAGAGGAACACCGGCCAAAAUGGGACUGAGACACGGCCCGGAGUCCUACGGGCGGCAGCAGUGGGGAAUUUUGGACAAUGGGCGCAAGCCUGAUCCAGCAAUGCCGCGUGCAGGAAGAAGGCCUUCGGGUUGUAAACUGCUUUUGUACGGAGCGAAAAGGCUCCCUCUAAUACAGGGGGCUAAUGACGGUACCGUAAGAAUAAGCACCGGCUAACUACGUGCCAGCCGCCGCCGUAA
rnacentral:rRNA from 1 species